GACGAACGCUGGCGGCGUGCUUAACACAUGCAAGUCGAACGACGAAGCCGGAGCUUGCUCUGGUGAAUUAGUGGCAAACGGGUGAGUAACACGUGAGUAACCUGCCCUUGACUCUGGGAUAACUGCUAGAAAUGGUAGCUAAUACCGGAUACGACCCUCGGAGGCAUCUUCAGGGGGUGGAAAGAAUUUCGGUCAAGGAUGGACUCGCGGCCUAUCAGCUAGUUGGUGAGGUAAUGGCUCACCAAGGCGACGACGGGUAGCCGGCCUGAGAGGAUGACCGGCCACACGGGGACUGAGACACGGCCCAGACUCCUACGGGAGGCAGCAGUGGGGAAUAUUGCACAAUGGGCGCAAGCCUGAUGCAGCAACGCCGCGUGAGGGAUGACGGCCUUCGGGUUGUAAACCUCUUUUAGUAGGGAAGAAGCGAAAGUGACGGUACCUGCAGAAAAAGCACCGGCUAACUACGUGCCAGCCGCCGCAGUAA
rnacentral:rRNA from 1 species